UGUGAACGGCACUUGCACA
rnacentral:siRNA from 1 species